rnacentral:lncRNA from 1 species
UGCACCACCUUCACAGGCAAAGGAAGAAACAUCAUGUACAAGAAAGUGACCCCAUAGUUGUCUAAUAAAAGACUAAAAGUCGAGGCCUGUCAACCCCAUUACAUAGAUUAGCAUUGGAUAGGAUGUCUACCGCUUGGGGUCAUUUAAGGUCUUACCCUCGAAAAAUUCACCAAGCAUAUGUUCCAGAUCCUCUGGAUUGUAUCUGAUGUACUUCUGAGGGUUCUUACCGUUCUCAACCAAGGGCCUGAAACAUACGUCAAAAAUCCAAAUUCCAAAUUCGUUAAACCAGAAUAUACUCGUGUUACACGAGGAGAGGGUGAUGUUAACAAUAAGAAACAGAAUAUACAAUUCAUUUGCAGCAAAUUAGAAAUACUAUGCCUCCAAUAUAGAAUCAUUAUCCUAAGCUUUUGAUGUUAUAAAAAAUUAAUAUGCAAGAUAUGGGCUCCAUAGUUUCAUUUAGGAUUCUUUUCAUGAAUAACAUAAACAAAAAUAUAUUCGGCAAAUUACAGCAUUGGUUCCCAACCUAUUGGCCUAGUAGCAAGUUGGUCUCUAACCUUCCGUGAUAUUUGCAAGAUUAAAAGCGCCCAAGGCUUCAAACUCAACCUAAUAAUCACUUCCAAAGAAAUGGAAUGAUUAUAGGAUCAAGAAGGUCAUAAAUCAGUUCCAAUUAAGAAAACUGUCAAAAUCUCUUUUUAAGAUUCGUAGCCAUCACAUGUCCAACUUUAUGAAAAACCUAAGUUUUGUUUCCCAACUUGAGCUAGUUCCCAGAAAUUUAAAGCGGGGCAUGACUCUAUGAGGACACACUUUCAUAUUAACGAGAGUGGGACCAUAUCUAUAGCCGGAGAUUGAUUGUAAAUAUAUAAUGAAAAAGUUUUAGUCCACCAACUUGCAUCUUGGGGAAUAGUAUGAGGCUCAACCAAUUUUCCCGUAUAUAGGAAUAGAAAGAUAACAUCAGAAUUCGUGUGGAAAUGUUAUGUAUUUUUUUUUACCAAUAAUAAAGAAAAUGUACCCGAAGCGUUUAAUGAAAGAUCGGUAAGCUGGAAGCAAGACUUCAGCAACUGCGAGCCUCAGGGAUUCUCUUAAUUCAGUGUCAGGAACUGUCCAUUGAGAUUGUCUUUGAUGGAGUUCCUCAAAUUGCAUAUUAAAUGUCUUCAAUCUAGUAAUGAAAUACAACAGAUUCAGUCAAAUCACUUUUUAAGUCAAUUAAUACAACUCAACAAGCAAAAAUUGUUCUCCAGAAAAUAACAACUCAAACACACCUGUCUUUGAUAAUUGCUCUUGAAGCUCCGCUACUAUUUCCUCCAUCCAUGCCAGCAACACUGCCGCCUCCAGAAGAUGUCAGGCCUUGAACAGAGAGGCACUGCAGAAUCUGCAGAAGGAAAUGCAAAAUAAUUUUAUGUACAAUUUUAUAAACAAGUACUGAAGUACAGGAGCCUUUAUACAACAGGCGGUGUUCCAUUCUUCAGUAUUCUCAAAUGACAGGAGGAAAAUAAUGUUCCUGGUCCAGCAGAGAGCAAGAAAUAGGGUAGAAACUCUAUUGGUAAUUGAUAGAUUGCAUGUGGCAUUUUGAAAAUUAAAAUGUGAAUUUAAAGAGUCUAUUAGACUACUAUUUUAAGGGUUGACUCUUUAAAAUAAAGAGCAUUUCAUGUUUAACGACUCUAAAUAAUUAAGUUUGAAAAAAUUGUUGCCAAAGUCGAACAUAAGUUACUUAUUUUAAAAGAGACUUUUGCCUUAUUGUUGAAAUUUUUUUUUGUUACUUUUAAUAAGAAAAAAGUACAAUAUAUCUAAACAUAUUUAAAGACUAAAAUUUAGUUAAAAGUAAAUUCAAGUGUUGAAAAAGUCGAAGUUUAGGGGGUCAAAUAACCUGAUGCUCAUUUACUAUGCUAAUUUCUUAUAUUACAUAAUUCAGACAGAAUGAUUUUCCAAGAAAGAAAGGAUUAAACAUUAAACCCGUGACAGAUUUGUUGCAUCAUCAUGGAAGUGCCAAAUUAACUAUCAGAAAUAAAGUUUAUUACUUUAGAAUCUUCAAAGAAACAUACAAAUAAUUUGGAAUACUUUUAAAAUGACUGAGUCUUUAAAAGUAGUGGGGAGCUAUCAGUCUUUUCAGUUUCUUCUUGCCCUUAAAAAUUUCUGUCUUAAAUGCAAAUCCAAAUCCCGCCCUAAUUUUCUGGAUAACGAAUACUGCUAGUGCAUCUUUGUCAAAUGUCAACAUAGGCGACAUGACCUCGAGCUUUAUUAAAUUAAAAAAAAAAAAAAAAAAAGGUUGAACCCCAACCUUGAGGACCUCCACCGCCCCGCACUUAGAGCUUUGUAAGGGACGUAAAUUGCGGGAUGUGCUCCAACAGGUCAGGGAACAAAAGCUGCUUGUACACUGCGUCUACAAGGAAUCCAAUUCCAUGUCUCAGGAAUCGAAUUUUCAUACUGCGACUGCCAGCAAGGCGUGAAAUAAUCUAACUCUUGUCCUUUGCACCACUGGAUUAUGCUACCGGGGGGCAACGUCGAAAUUCGAAUCUCCACCCUGCCACUGGAAGCAAGACAAAUGUUGAUUGAUCCAUCAAUUGAGCUGUGCCCCGGGGGGCAAACGCACGCUUUGUUAACAAUUGAUAGAGUUGAGCUAAGCUCUUACGCAAUGUUAAAAGAGCCAUAUGGUGAACUCAAGGUAACAUAUUCAAGAUCACAUCAUCAAGUCUCUUAAGCCAUCGAAUUAUCUUAAUAUUAAUUUCACGGAAUUGAGGAUUAAAUUAAAAGUAGUUCAUUUCCUAUUGUUUUGUUGAGUAAAAGUUGUUUCGUCCAAAUAUUAUAUGGUUUAAAUCCAAUUUCAUUAUCAAAAUUCAUAUCUUUGCAAGGUAUAAAACUUAAAAGAACAAGAUCAGCAUAGAAAUAAGAGCACGAAUCUGAUUAAUCUUUAAACAAUAAAGAUUAAAGAAGUUUUCACUUUAGAAUCAAUUAAAGAAGAGCAUUUGCUUAAAAACAUUGAUACAUUGGAACCAUGAGUCUAAUUAAUUUAAAGAGUGGGUUUGGCUCCAAAUUUGGAUAAUCAAACUCACUUUCUAUAAUUAAAUGCAUUCAAAGUAUUUCAAUUUUCAAUGUAAAAAAAGAAUAUAAUAAUUUAGAGAAAAGUUAGUUAAAAUAAAUGAUAAAGAAAAUGAUAAAUGUUUUUUGGGAAUAGUAAAAUUAAAUAUUAGAUAUAAAGAACCAGUUAGAGUACUUCAAAAUUUUUACUCUCUAAAUUAUAGAAUAAGUUCUUUAAAAAUAGAAAGUCUCUCGUAAAUGUUCUUACAUAUUAGUAAACAUUUUAAGCUUUGCCGAACAUGAACUUCACAGGUUUGUACAUAAAGCUUGUGGUCUUCAAGAAACAUAUUAUUCUCUAAUUAAUUAGACUGAUGGUUUAAAUUAAAAUGUGAAUUUAAAGAGUCUAUUAGACUACUAUUUUAAGGGUUGACUCUUUAAAAUAAAGAGCAUUUCAUGUUUAACGACUCUAAAUAAUUAAGUUUGAAAAAAUUGUUGCCAAAGUCGAACAUAAGUUACUUAUUUUAAAAGAGACUUUUGCCUUAUUGUUGAAAUUUUUUUUUGUUACUUUUAAUAAGAAAAAAGUACAAUAUAUCUAAACAUAUUUAAAGACUAAAAUUUAGUUAAAAGUAAAUUCAAGUGUUGAAAAAGUCGAAGUUUAGGGGGUCAAAUAACCUGAUGCUCAUUUACUAUGCUAAUUUCUUAUAUUACAUAAUUCAGACAGAAUGAUUUUCCAAGAAAGAAAGGAUUAAACAUUAAACCCGUGACAGAUUUGUUGCAUCAUCAUGGAAGUGCCAAAUUAACUAUCAGAAAUAAAGUUUAUUACUUUAGAAUCUUCAAAGAAACAUACAAAUAAUUUGGAAUACUUUUAAAAUGACUGAGUCUUUAAAAGUAGUGGGGAGCUAUCAGUCUUUUCAGUUUCUUCUUGCCCUUAAAAAUUUCUGUCUUAAAUGCAAAUCCAAAUCCCGCCCUAAUUUUCUGGAUAACGAAUACUGCUAGUGCAUCUUUGUCAAAUGUCAACAUAGGCGACAUGACCUCGAGCUUUAUUAAAUUAAAAAAAAAAAAAAAAAAAGGUUGAACCCCAACCUUGAGGACCCCCACCGUCCCGUCCUUAGAGCUUUGUAAGGGAGGUAAAUUGCGGGAUGUGUCUCAACAGGUCAGGGAACAAGAGAUGCUUGUACACUGCGCCUACAAGGAGUCCAAUUCCAUGUCUCAGGAAUCAAACUCCCAUACUGCGACUGCCAGCAAGGCGUGAAAUAAUCUAACUCUUGUCCUUUGCACCACUGGAUUAUGCUACCGGGGGGCAACGUCGAGCUUUAUUCGCAGUAUCAAUGAAAUCAAUGAACAAAGCUGCAUUGGAUUACACGUAAAAUUAUUUUAUGCAAAAAUGUGACUAAAAUGAGUUUGAAAAAACGAUUUUUUGAAAAAUUGGAGCCCAAACAGUGGCUAAAGUGGCAAUACCACUAAAAUAAUCGGUGUGCCACGUCAAUGUCCGUGGGAGAUAUUUAUUUUAUUCUUGAAUUGAAAGUGUUAUAGGAGAUAUUUAUAUUAUUUCUGAAUUAAGAAGCGAGUGAAAAAAUUGUGUAAAAAGAAAGAAAAAUAGGUGACUCCCUAAAAAGUAGUCAAAAGCAGUAUUUCCAUCUCAAAAGACAGAUCACACUUGCUUUUGGUUGCUUCAUUGAGGUAGAAAUACUUUAGCAAAUAUCAUUUUGAAUACAUUUUCUCGAUUGAAAUGCAAUAAAUAACGGAUAACCCACAAAUUAAUUGCACUAUUUAUCCUCGAGAAAACAAAAUAAAUUAGAAAAUAAUUCAGCGAAAAUGUAUGUAAAGUAGAGUUGGGGCUGUUUUUUUCACCGGAAAAAAAAAAAGUAUUGAACUCCGUGGUGUACGUGGUAGCAUUGGACCAUUUCCCCCCCUAAAAUUAAACCAAAAAAGAAAAAAUAAGUUAUGUACAAUCAAUCUUUAUUUUUUAUAAGCCGAAUCCGUAAAAAAAUUGUGCUCUGACCAAUCAUUUUACACCUCUAUUUUAAAAGUAUUUCACGUGUCUAUUUCGGCAUUAAUUUCUAAAUAGAGUUUUCCAAUCUCUAAAUGCCUUUCAAAAGAAAAGCAUGAUAAUCUGAACAUAAUCUAGAAAUCAUUAGUCGAUUACUAGCUAGGGAAGCAUAUAGCCUUAAGGGAAAGAGGAAAAGAGAAAAGCAAAGAGGGAAUUAAAUAUUGCUAUUAGUAGCUAUUUCUAUAGGGUAAUGUUAUUCGUAAUGAAGACUGUCAGUAAUCGUUCUAUGUGGCAUACACUUGGCAAUUUGACAUUUGAUAUAUAGAUAUAAUAGUUAUUUUUUGAAUUAUACAUCAAAUGAAAAACUGACAAGUGUACGCUACAUAGGCCAACUGUCGAUAGUCUUCACUGCGAAUGGCAUUAUUCAUUUCUAUAUGUAAGGCAAUACAACUUUUUCUUAUUGCUGGGCAAUAAAGAUUAUCCGGCACAAAUUCCCACGCUAAACACGCACAAAAGACAGAGGUGUGGUGUUCACAAAAGGUUAGAGGGUUGGAAUGGAGACAAAGUUUCCACACAUUGAACUCUUGCAGUGUUCUUUAAUAAAGGAAAAAGGUAGAAAUGGGCGUUAUUUAAAGGUGAUCACACUAUCAUUUCUGCAAGAAAGUAAGGGAAGUCUUGGAUCUCAAACUCACAUCAAUCACCAUAUAAUUAGAAUCUCUCUCUCCUCUCUUUCAAUGAUCAAAGCCUCGGAUCACUCAAUCAUCAGAUUCGAGAGAGAGAUUGUGGGACCGAUGAAAAGAAUAAGAAUUAUGGCCAAGAGAGGGUGAUGACUAGUCAAAAAGAGCAGAAAACAUUAAAGUUAACGAGAAUGUUUUUUAAUGAAAUGAUGCCGGUUUUAAUGUAGGAAUUGGGUUUCAAACAAUUUUCUUGCAAAUCCAAAAUAAUAAAUUAGUUGGAAAUUAAAUAGGGUAAAUUCUUCCAGUGGGUUCCAACUUUUCAUAAAUACGACGGUCAUGGAAAUAAUCUCACGCUUACAAUGAACAGAAGUUAUAAUGUCUACCUAGUGAUAUUAUCACGUCAAUAGGUCAAACCUAUUUUCUUUUGGGGAAAAAAAAAGUACAACUUGAUUGCCACGUCAACGGUGAGCAAUUGUUAUCUUGAUCAUUAUGUGCAGAAAGUCAGCUCUGAUGAGGUUUUAUAUUCUACUUUUCGUUUGCAAUAAAAAAAAUUCUUACUUAGUACUCGCCAUUCUUCAAUUAUUAUAAGGAAUUUAAAAAAUUAUAUAUAGAAAAACUAGGAGAGCAUAUUCUUCGGUGCAAAGACGUAGGAAUACCACUCUUCUUAAAUGGUAAGGUAGACUUCAUAUACUGAAGGUGUUCAUUUUCUUAUAAAAAUAAAUAAAUAAAUAAAAUAUCUUCAACGUUGUUGUGCUCUCUAAUCCUAUUGUGGACCAAACAUGUCCUAACAGGACAGAUUACCUUUCAGAUUAUAACAUUCAAAAGAAAAUGCAUAAAUAGAGCCAGUAAUUUACAUUUCCUGCAAGAAUAUCAAGGCUUGCAAGCAGAAUAGAGGAAUUAUUGGCAUGUUUUGAACUGCUAAAAGCCCUCUUUCUGAGCAGUAUAUUACAAGAAAACAGGCAAUCUAUGAAUAAGCUCUACAACGCAGUAUAUUACAAUAUGCACCACCUUCACAGGCAAAGGAAGAAACAUCAUGUACAAGAAAGUGACCCCAUAGUUGUCUAAUAAAAGACUAAAAGUCGAGGCCUGUCAACCCCAUUACAUAGAUUAGCAUUGGAUAGGAUGUCUACCGCUUGGGGUCAUUUAAGGUCUUACCCUCGAAAAAUUCACCAAGCAUAUGUUCCAGAUCCUCUGGAUUGUAUCUGAUGUACUUCUGAGGGUUCUUACCGUUCUCAACCAAGGGCCUGAAACAUACGUCAAAAAUCCAAAUUCCAAAUUCGUUAAACCAGAAUAUACUCGUGUUACACGAGGAGAGGGUGAUGUUAACAAUAAGAAACAGAAUAUACAAUUCAUUUGCAGCAAAUUAGAAAUACUAUGCCUCCAAUAUAGAAUCAUUAUCCUAAGCUUUUGAUGUUAUAAAAAAUUAAUAUGCAAGAUAUGGGCUCCAUAGUUUCAUUUAGGAUUCUUUUCAUGAAUAACAUAAACAAAAAUAUAUUCGGCAAAUUACAGCAUUGGUUCCCAACCUAUUGGCCUAGUAGCAAGUUGGUCUCUAACCUUCCGUGAUAUUUGCAAGAUUAAAAGCGCCCAAGGCUUCAAACUCAACCUAAUAAUCACUUCCAAAGAAAUGGAAUGAUUAUAGGAUCAAGAAGGUCAUAAAUCAGUUCCAAUUAAGAAAACUGUCAAAAUCUCUUUUUAAGAUUCGUAGCCAUCACAUGUCCAACUUUAUGAAAAACCUAAGUUUUGUUUCCCAACUUGAGCUAGUUCCCAGAAAUUUAAAGCGGGGCAUGACUCUAUGAGGACACACUUUCAUAUUAACGAGAGUGGGACCAUAUCUAUAGCCGGAGAUUGAUUGUAAAUAUAUAAUGAAAAAGUUUUAGUCCACCAACUUGCAUCUUGGGGAAUAGUAUGAGGCUCAACCAAUUUUCCCGUAUAUAGGAAUAGAAAGAUAACAUCAGAAUUCGUGUGGAAAUGUUAUGUAUUUUUU